rnacentral:rRNA from 1 species
GGCUCAGGAUGAACGCUAGCUACAGGCUUAACACAUGCAAGUCGAGGGGAAACGACAUCGAAAGCUUGCUUUUGAUGGGCGUCGACCGGCGCACGGGUGAGUAACGCGUAUCCAACCUGCCCACCACUUGGGAAUAACCUUGCGAAAGUAAGACUAAUGCCCAAUGACGUUGAAAGAAGACAUCUGAUUUCAACUAAAGAUUUAUCGGUGAUGGAUGGGGAUGCGUCUGAUUAGCUUGUUGGCGGGGUAACGGCCCACCAAGGCUACGAUCAGUAGGGGUUCUGAGAGGAAGGUCCCCCACAUUGGAACUGAGACACGGUCCAAACUCCUACGGGAGGCAGCAGUGAGGAAUAUUGGUCAAUGGGCGAGAGCCUGAACCAGCCAAGUAGCGUGCAGGAUGACGGCCCUAUGGGUUGUAAACUGCUUUUAUAAGGGAAUAAAGUGAGUCUCGUGAGACUUUUUGCAUGUACCUUAUGAAUAAGGACCGGCUAAUUCCGUG